AUGAACGCUGGCGGCGUGCCUAAUACAUGCAAGUCGCGCGAACAGACGAGGAGCUUGCUCCUCUGACGUUAGCGGCGGACGGGUGAGUAACACGUGGAUAACCUACCUAUAAGACUGGGAUAACUUCGGGAAACCGGAGCUAAUACCGGAUAAUAUAUUGAACCGCAUGGUUCAAUAGUGAAAGACGGUUUUGCUGUCACUUAUAGAUGGAUCCGCGCCGCAUUAGCUAGUUGGUAAGGUAACGGCUUACCAAGGCAACGAUGCGUAGCCGACCUGAGAGGGUGAUCGGCCACACUGGAACUGAGACACGGUCCAGACUCCUACGGGAGGCAGCAGUAGGGAACCUUCCGCAAUGGGCGAAAGCCUGACGGAGCAACGCCGCGUGAGUGAUGAAGGUCUUCGGAUCGUAAAACUCUGUUAUUAGGGAAGAACAAAUGUGUAAGUAACUAUGCACGUCUUGACGGUACCUAAUCAGAAAGCCACGGCUAACUACGUG
rnacentral:rRNA from 1 species